CCACGUAGUAUAUUCAUAAACUUUCUAUUACACAUGUACAUAUAUAUAUAUAUAUAUAUAUAUAUAUAUAUAUAUAUAUAUAUAUAUACUANNNNNAAUGACAUAUAUAUAUAUAUAUAAUAUAUAUAUAUAUAUAUAUAUAUAUAUAUAUCUAUAUAAACACGAAUACCAUCGCCUCACUCAGCCAACGUACACUCCUUACACGCACAUCAUAGUCGGCAUGUGCACUUCCCACUUCGCACAUGCACGGUUGUAAUUGUCACAACAUUGUCAUUCAAUCGGCAUGUGCAAUGCCCACUCCUCACAUGCAUGAUUGUAAUUGUCACAACAUUGUCAUUCAACCAGCAUGUGCACUGCCCACUCCGCACAUGGACGGUUACAUCAAUUAUAUAAAAUUACUUAACAAUACAUAUCAUUGUAGACACUAUAUUGUUUUUUUAAAAAAAGAGGUAAGACUGGCAGGGUGCACACGCGCCCUACUAAGCACCACCCUCACCCUGCUAGAUGCGAAAAAUUCACGUCUGGUAGAGUAGUGGGAGCGUGCCCCCUUCAGCCAAGUAUAAAGGGGGCACUGUAGCAAGGGGGAUCCCGGGCCAAAAAUCAAAGAACCCAGUAAUCAACUAUCAAUAAAAAAAUCCCUAGUUUCUAGCAGCAAAAAAAUACCUAGCCACAGUAACAAAAAAAAAUCAAGAAAAACCUAUGGGUUCUAGUAGCAAAAAACUAUAAUCCACCAUCAAAAAAAUACUAGAAGAAAACAAAAAAAAAAACAUCAAAAAUUACAGAGAGGUAAGGUAAAUAGCUUGUUUUUGUUAGGGGAUUUUUAGUUUUUUUUUUUUAGGGAUUUCGGGGUUUUUGUGGAGAGAUCUGGAGUUUUGGGUGGUUUUGGGGUCUUGCUUGUCGCCGACAAAGGGAGCAAAGCUGGAUAUGGGCAGUGAAAGCAGAAGAGGACUUGGUAACUUGUGGUAUUGAGAUAGAGAGAAAACCAGUGGCAAGGUGAGUUGGCUUGGGAAUCGUCGGCGACGUGAAGGAGGGAGAUUUGCUUUUGGGAGCCGACGCCGGAAGGGAGCAAAGCCCAAUCGACGCCGGUUAGAGGAGAGAACAAAGGUCGGUCAGGGUAACUGGCGGUGCUACUAGUCUUGGGCGGUAGCCGGUGAAGAAAGAGUUAGUGAGAGGGGAAGGUGGUGAGAUUCUAGAGAGAAGGCAGAGAGAUUUGUUUCUAGAAAGAGAAAAUGGUGAAGGAAAUGAGGAAGAGAGGAGGAAAAGAAUACUUUUAUACUUAGGGCUUUGAGGCAAAACGGCGUAGUUUUGGGAGAAUUCAGAAAAGCUCUUCCCAGACGCUUGAAACGGUGCCGUUUUAGACUUUAAGGGAGACUGUAAAGCGGGUCGAUCUAGACCCAAAAGGAGUCAUUGGGUUUCUUGGACGUUGGGCUUCAAUAGUCCGAAUUUGGUAUGGACUCCUUUGAACCUUAUUACUUGGAAUACUAUUAUGUUAUUGGUUUAUUAUGUUCAUUGGGCCAUUAAUUUUUAUUAAUUUAGUUUUGGGUUAUUUGCUUAUUGUAUAUUUAUUGGGCCAUUUAUUUUUUAGUUUAGGUCCAAUUUAGGUCUCUAAAUUUAAAAGGCUUGCUUUUAGUUUUAUUUAAAGUCACUAAUUAAAAUAAUGGCAUAUUACUUGGCUAAUACCGAUGAUGGGAUGAUCGGUCGGGAUGCGAGAAGUCACAAUCCUAGGCUAAUUUUCCCUAGGUUCGAAAUCCGAAUUAAGGCUCCACCAGUAUGAUGGGAGGGCCUUGAUUUUAAGGUUUCGAGAUUUUUAAUUUUAAAUAAAUAAAAAAAUAUAAUGAAAAAUAAAAAUAUAAUAAUAAAAAAAUAAAAUAAAAUAAACUUCACAAACAUAAUAUAUAUUUCUAUUGCAUCAUGCAUAUCAUUGCAUAUAGAUAUUUUUGCUCACGAGUUAAGUCCCGAUGAUGGGAUUUUUCGAAGAUCUUGCGAGGGCGAGUUUCUCUUGAAAAACUCCCUAGGUGAAAGGAUGUCCCUGGGUCCCACCAGUAUGAUGGGAGAGCUCGGGAAACAUCUUUAAUAAAAAGGCUUUUGCUCGUAAUAGGUUCAUUAUUCACGAAAAUAUUAUUUUUUUAAAAAGAAAAACGUACGAUAACCCCGAUGAUGGACUUGUUCGUCAAAUUUGCAAAGAUGAAUUUCUCGGAUAAUUUAUUAGGUGAGAGAACACCCCGGAUCCCACUAGUAUGAUGGGCGGAUUCGGGAGAACGUCCUCGAUAAAAGGUUAUUCGUCCGACAUUUUUCAUCUCAUACCAUGCAUUUCAUCUUACCUCAUAUUUGCAUUCCAUUUUAGGUUGAAUAGGAGAUAAAAUAAGUGAAUAAUAGCUAAGAAAGUAAAAUGAACUUAAAAAAAUAAAGCCUAAUAGGAUAAUCUAAAAAUGGUACCGUUCAUGGAACGGGCGUUUCUGGGGUGCUAAUCAUUCCUUGGGCGUAACUGUACUCCCGAACCUAGAUUUCAAAAAACGUAGACCAAUUUAAGAUUCUUUCGGCGAGCUUAAAAUUAAUUUAAAACUUUGUCGAUUAGAAUUGAGUCAAUAGGUGGCCAAUCACACCUAGGAAAAAAGAUUGGUGGCGACUCCUAAGUUUUAGAGUUUUCACUCACAUUUGACGGUCGGAUUCCCGGACUCACAUGUUACGACAAUCAUAUAUUAUUAUUAUUUUUUACAUAUACAUAUCAGUAUCAUAUAGAGGUACAUAGAUUCAUCACAAUCAUGUUCCACAUCACAAAAACAUUUCACUAAAGGCUUGUUCCCAUGCAUUUUUAUAGAAAAACAAUUAAAAUGUCUUAAUCAACCACAUGUGCCUUACUCCCAAAAUAUUUUAUGCAAGUUCACUCACCUUAUGAUAGUGGGAUAUUACAUUGCUAUUUGAUCAGAGGUGUCUCUGAUUAUUUUCACUGGCCGGUUGCUCGUUGUUUACUCCGGCAUGCCACCAUAGUACUCUAACCUUAUCUUUACACUGCCUAACAAUAAUACGAACUCAAUAUAUUUAAUUAUAUACGUACACGGGCAGCACUUCAAUCAAUUAAUCCUUACUAAAAUUUAUAUUUUUCAUCCUAUCAUGAAACUAUCUUCAAUUAACUCACAUCAUAAUACAUUUUUACUAAAAUUACUUAUAUCCAUUGCUUACGUAAUUCCUUAAAUUAUAUCAUCGGCAACUUAACUAUGAUGUCACGUGUCUAUUUCAACCUUUAUAAAUAAUUUUCACCUAAAUCCAUUUUAUAUUUUCACACAUAAUCCACAUAUAUGGCAGCAACAAUCAUUCUCACUUUCACUCGAUUAUUUCCUAGUUUACACGUAUCGUUAUCUAUCUAACUUUCAAUAGUUUGUUUCUUAAUCCUCCAUCCACAAUAUUCAUUUUUCAUUUCUUUCAAACAACAUGCCAUACAAUCUUAACAAUUUUCAACUAACUUAUGCAAAUAGAUCCUUUCAACAACCAUAAUUCCUCACAAUAUUCAACUAAUCGUAGGCUUUAAAACAUAGUGUUAAGCUUACCGUUUUCUUUUUCCACUUUGAGUCCUUCAUGUACCCAUGGGUUUAUUGGCUUACAUGUUAUCAAUUUUUCUUUAAUCAAGCCAAUCUUUGCUGCCACAAGACAUUUCUCUAAGUCACUAACUCAUUUUCAAAGACUACUUAAGCCAAAAACAAGAAUUCUUACCGUUCUUUGCUUGAAUCACCAAAACCAAGCUUUUUCUUCUUUUCUCUCUUUUUCUUUCUUCUCCUUCUAGGGUUCAGAUGUGCUGGAAAUUGGGGUUAAAGGCUGUAAAUUUAGUGCUCAAGAAGUUUGGAGAAGAAAGGAAAAGAAAACAUGGAAAGGAAAGUGAAGAAAACUUGAUUUCAUGGUGGAUAAAGAGAAAAUGGAAUGGAAGCUUCAAGAAUGGCGUAGAGCAUGGAUGAAGAAAAAGAAAAAUCUAGUGGGGGAAAGGAUAAGGUCAGUCUUGGCCUAAAAAAAUCAGAGUCAUAAAGAUUUUGUGAGUGAAUACGUGAAAGGGAUAAGCCAAGGGGAGGAGCUUUUGCAUAAUUCAUAAUUUGCAUAAUCAUGACAAUAAUAAAUUUCAUAUGUUUCCUUCAAAUACUUGAAAAUAAUGUUGUUCAAGACCAUUUUAGUGGAUUUUAGUUAAAACUAAAGUUGCAUAAAAGUUUAGAAUGAAAUGGAAGUUGGAAACACUUGAAAACCUCGUGAAAAAGGAGUGAAACCACUGUUCUGUGCCUAAAGUGUCGAUACUUUUACUCUAAAAUGCUCUCUAAACUAUAAGUAUUGAUACUUUCUACACAAAAAGCUUCUUAAGGCAUUCUGUGUACUAAGCAUCAUUACUUGUUCUUCAAGUAUCAAACAAGUAUCGAUACUUCCCUCAUAAAACCCAGAUUUUGGGUACUUUUCUACAUUUUCCAACUCUACUUCAAUUCCUAUACUUAAGGAUAAUCAUGUAGCCUAAGAUCUCACUUGGACUCAACCAUAAGCAUCACUUUUCAACUAUUUAACACAUCAUUCACAUUCAUAGCUUAGAACUUAGUCUUUCCAUAAAUCUAGCAUAUCUAUUCUAAAAAAAUUCAUCUUGAAACCCAUUAAGAACAAUGGUUCUAUCUCCACUAUCUAGGAUAACGAUAGCUGUCAAACCUUGUUCUAUAAAAUAAUUACGAUGUCAUUUACAUGCUCAAUAAAAUGUUUGUAUAUUUAGAAAGUUCAAGAAAUCGUCAAAAGACGAUAUUGCCCUUAAUGGUACCAUUAAGUCGAUUAAGUCUCGAACUAGUUCAAAUAUGAACUUUUACGUGAAAUUAAGAGUUUCACAGUCCAAGAAUGAUUUAAAGUGGUGAUUUGGAGUUCGGGGAUCAAUUUGGAGUCAAACUGAAAUUUUCACUAUCUAGGGGCAAAAUGGUCAUUUUGCCACCCGAGAUUAAGAUGUGAGUGUUGGAUGAAAUUUUGACUAAGAUUGAUCAAGAUUGACUAUUUAGAACAUAAAUUGAGGUUUAGAAGUGAAAAAUUUUAAUUUCGGUAUAAUUUGGAGUAUAGGGGUAAAAUGGUAAUUUUGCCAUCUUAGGGGUAAAAUGGUAAUUUUGCCACCUAGGGGUAAAAUUGUAAUUUUCUACCACCAGGACAUUUGUCCAGCACAUGGUAUUCCCUUAUCCUCAUUUUGACCUUUGACUAAUCAUGUGGUGGAGAUAAAAGGUUUUAAAUUUUUAAAGUUUUAAAAAUGGACCAAUGGAAACAUGCCAUGUGUCAAGCUUAGGAUAUUUUAUUAUUUAACUUAAAAUUCAGCAUAAAUCAGCCCAUUAUCUCUCCAAAUAUUCGGCCAAGCAAGGAAGAGAGGGAAAGAAAUGAAGAACAGACCCUAGGUGAAGAAUUUCAAGAGAAAAAGUGUGGAAAAUCAAGGAAAACAAGUGAAAAAGGUAGGAUUUUUCAGCUUAAGCUUGAAAUCUAUUUUUCUUAAGCAUUUCUCCUUAUUUUCCAUGCUUAAAUUACAUGUUUUCAUGAUGAAUUCAUGACUGGUCAAAAUGGGUAAGGAGAGAGAAAGAUGUUGGAUUGAUUUGAUUUUAAGUUAUGUUAGUGUUUUUAGUUAGUUUAGCAUAUUUAGAAGCAAAACAACAAGAAAGGAAUCCAUUUUCCCCAUGAAUCUUCAUGGCCGAAUCUUCCUUGAUAUGUGUGGGAGAUGGAUUGUUAUUAUUUCAAGAGAAAUGGCUUAGAAAAUGAUGAAUAAUGGUGAGAAAAUUAAGUAGGAAAAUCACGGUGUUAGUGCACUAUAAUGGCCAAAUUUUUCCAUGAAGAAAUGGGAGGGUUUUGAUGCUGAAAUUGUGUUAUUUGAAUAAUGUUUGGUGAAUUGAGGUAUUAGAAAUGAAAUGGAGCAAUUUGGAGCUAAAUUGGACACAAUUGUCACUUAAUCGGGUAAUAGGUCGAAUUAGGUCAGCACCGCAUUUAAGCGAUAGUCGGAUAAGUUGCAUGUCAUAUUAUGCAUAUACACCGAGUUUGAAUUGAUUUAUAAUGGUCAAGCAUUAAUGUGGUGAAUUAUGUAUUGUACAUUAUGGAUAGGUGGUGAGCAAAUUACACUGGUAAAAGUACAAAGAUUAUGCUUGAAGACUGGGAUUAGGAGUACAUCGACUCCUAGAACUGUGAGUAAACUUAUUAUCGUCUUAAUUAUCUAGAGUAGUUUUAUUCAAUUGUGUGAUUUUAUAGAAAAUGGGUUUAAAUGGUAAAUUGCUAUGUUUUAGGAAAAAUUGUGAUUUUAUAAAUUUUCUAGAAAAUUGAAUACUGGUUUUGAAAGUAGAGUAAUUGGAGACUACUCGCUUGUCUUAUAAAUUGUGUUUUAAAUUAUAUGGCUUAUAGCAAUAUGUAAGCAUGAAUGGCAAAGUUUGUGUUUGUAUCAAAAUUAUAUAUACUAUGUAUUCAGCCUUUAGAGGCUAGAUCGCGAUAAAUUGCCAUGUCAUGCAGAAAAGGAUUUUAUAAAUCAGGUGGUAGAUAUAAUAAUUCAUAAUCCCUGCAGUGGAGGUUCUGUGGACCAGCCUAAGAGAGGGGGCACCGAAUCAGAUAUACCUUCCCUCGAUUAGAGAGCCGUGUGUAAGGUUUCUCUAGAGGUAAAGAUUUGAGUGCACUUCACGUGGACCACCGCGUGAGAGUGAGACUCGGCCAAUGCCAAGGCAUGGCUAGAAUUUCAAAUAUAAAGACAUUUAACAGUCUUGGUAGUCUCGGUCAGAUGCCUAGGCCAAGGCAUCCUUGGAAAUGAUUUUGGUAGGAGCCAAGUUUUGUGAAAUACAUAAGCCAAGUUGAUUAUUUGAGUAAAUUGAUUAUUGAUGUUAUGAAAAACAUACUGGAAUGGAAUAUCUUACUUGUCUUCAUUUACUCGACUUUAGAUGAUUUAGAUGGUAUAUGUUUACUCACUAGGAUUUUAUAAUCUCACCACCCUUAAUUCUCCACAUUUCAGGCUCGGGAUAGCUGGUAGAUAGCCGAUUGCAUCAAGGACUUCAGUUAACCUUGCAUCGACAAAAUUGUAGAUUCACAGACUCGUAGCUUAUUGGUUAGUUGGGGGCCCACGUGUCACUGUAAAAGUAAUUUUAUAUUUCAGUCAUUUGCUUUAAAGUACGUAUGAAUAUAUUUAGCUUUUACACUACAGAAAUUAAAUUACGAAUUUCUCUAUAAAUAUUAUUUUUUUAUUUAGAAAAUAGAAUAUUUUAUUAAAAAUUAUUAUUUUAUUCAAACAAUUAUAAUUUCAUUUCAAAUUAUUAGUUUAGACAUCUAAAUUUACUUUUAAUUAUGAAACAUGUGUUUUUCACCCACACACCAUGUUUUUAGCGGGUUUUGGUAUUUUCGAAGAAAAAUGACAAAAAUGCCCAUGUGAG
rnacentral:lncRNA from 1 species